rnacentral:lncRNA from 1 species
AGUUUAGCUAUAAAAUAAAUAUGAUAAAAUAAUGAAGAAAAUAUCGGUAGCUUGAAAAACAUUAUUAUUGAGUAUUGCAGAUAGUAGGGGUAGUGCUACCGAUAACGAUGAUGCUUGUGGGUAGCUCGAUACUCAGGUUCUUUUUCUGAGUCAGACAUGCAAAGGGGAAUUGAGUCAGUCGUCUAUCGAUCGACAUUUAGCCUGGCGACGUAGAAAAAUGUUGGCGACGUGGACAUGGACAGUGGCGAGUGCCACUGGCAAAUCGUCUAUUUGCAUUAUACUGUUGAUAUAUUAAAAGCGAUCAUGGUUAAUGUCACGAUCGAGGACUCGUUAAAAAAAAAUGAAGAAGUCAAUGAAGAAGAGAAAGAGAAGGAGAGAAAGAAAAAGAUAGAAGAUCACUCGAUCUAGCUAAGUGUUAGCUAGCAUUUAAUACAUGUUAGACCUUGCCUUGUCUGUUUUAUUGAUCCUUAGGAUAUGUUCGAUGACAGGUAUACGUCUAAAUACUUCCACGGGCGUAUACAUGCGCAGGACACAAGUAGAUAGAGAGACAGAGAGGAAGGAAAAGAGACAGUGAAAGAGAGAGAGAGAAAGAAAGAGAGGGUGAAGGAAAGAGAGAAGAGCUGCUUCGAAACGUCCUAGCCUCUCUCGCAGAUAUUGAUCCGUCUACCACCGAGACUACAACAUGAAAUCGUUCUGUUAACUAUCCAGAGGCAUCGCUGAUGAAAAUUCUAUCCUUGCAUUAUUCUUUUCCUUUUUAUCUUCCAUUCCACUCCCUGUCAUAUCUCCGAUGACACAAGCUCGACAGCUUCAGAGUAUUGGAUAGGGGGUGCUUUUCCAAUCUCUUGGAAAAUCUUUCAAUAUUUCAAUAUGUCUCGGGAAUGAAGUGAAAGCCACUUUCUUGGGAACGAUCCUGAAAACGGAUGACAACGGUCGCAAGCUGCCGUAAAUGGCGUCGACUCUCCGCUUACAGAGGAUACAAGAUGUAUAAUCUCUCUCUCGAAAAAGUCGCUACUAACGAAGAAAGAAGAUGAAGAAGAAGGAGAAAAAGGAGGAGGUGGAGGAGGAGGAGGUGGUGGAAGAGGAGGAUGAGGGACCAAGUGAGUCGAUAACGGUGUUCUUGAAAUCUGAGUCACGUCCUCCUCGCUUUCCCUCCCAAUUCUCUGUAUCGAACUUUUUACUUAACAUCGCCGAAAACUCUCAGUAUUGCGUUUCAUCUCGAUCCACGAUCACUUUCUCGACCAAUAAGGGUUGUUUGAUAAUUUGUGCAAGAUUUUACAUCGAGCUCGUCUUAUGUCAGAAACACAUUUUUAACACGUAAUAAUGAAUACCAGAAUGUUCUUUUGAAUGUAUUUUUUUAUUUAAAAAAAAAAUGAUGAAUAAUAAAUUAAUAUUAUAUAAAGAGUCUAUUGUAAUUAUUAAGUUAACAUUUCAAUCAUAACUCACAUUAGAAUUAACGAGUAAUUUAUUUGUAUUUUAUGAUUGUGAUAAGCUAUGUAAUAUCGAUGGAAAUAUAUCAAAAAAUUAAUGCAAAUUUUUGAAAGUAAGUAACUAAUUGGAA